GACGAACGCUGGCGGCGUGCUUAACACAUGCAAGUCGAACGGAAAGGCCCUGCUUUUGUGGGGUGCUCGAGUGGCGAACGGGUGAGUAACACGUGAGUAACCUGCCCUUGACUUUGGGAUAACUUCAGGAAACUGGGGCUAAUACCGGAUAGGAGCUCCUGCUGCAUGGUGGGUGUUGGAAAGUUUCGGCGGUUGGGGAUGGACUCGCGGCUUAUCAGCUUGUGGGUGGGGUAGUGGCUUACCAAGGCUUUGACGGGUAGCCGGCCUGAGAGGGUGACCGGCCACAUUGGGACUGAGAUACGGCCCAGACUCCUACGGGAGGCAGCAGUGGGGAAUAUUGCACAAUGGGCGGAAGCCUGAUGCAGCAACGCCGCGUGCGGGAUGACGGCCUUCGGGUUGUAAACCGCUUUCGCCUGUGACGAAGCGUGAGUGACGGUAAUGGGUAAAGAAGCACCGGCUAACUACGUG
rnacentral:rRNA from 1 species